AGGCCAGCAAGAUAUACCUGUAGGCUGUUGGGUCAUUUGAGUGAUUUGUCAGGUUGAUUUGAUUUAGUUUUUCCUCCUUUUUAAUGUGAAACACCUACUGAGUGCUGAGUAAAGACCAAUUAGUCACUCCUUCUAACUGAUGAAGGCAAGAGGAAAAGGGGAAACACUGUGGACCAGCACAAAGGAAUUCUAUCCAAAUAAGAAAUUAUUUUGUUUAUAAAUUAGGCAGAUAUUACAUCUUUAUAGAUUUGAUGGUCUCAGUCCAACUGGUGUAAUUGAAGGGAAAAAAAAAAAACAGACUCUUAAAAGCAAAUGGGAGAAUAUAGCAGUAAAGGGGGAAGAUGGGGAUAUAUUAACUGCAGAUGGGGAAAGACGUUAGUCAAACUUCUCAGGGAUUUGAAGGAAUCUAGAGCGUGUAUUGCCUAUUUGUCCUAAUUAAGAGGGAACUAUAUAAAAUUGAAUAAAAAAAUUCAUGUUGAACUUAGUAAAGGAUUAUUUGUACAGCUGAUUUAAUAGAAUAAUAGAAUGUUAGAGUUGUAAGUGACUUCAUACUAUGGGUCUGAAUCAGAACUACAUAGAGAGGUGUCUUUUUCCCCCCUUGAAAAAUAUAUGAUUGAGUUCCAUCUUCCAGCAUUUAUGAGGUGGGGCCUUGGCACGUGCACUUUGAAAAGAUUUGUAAGAGAGUCUGAUGUGGAUCUCCAUGCAUUUAUGCCAUCAUUCAUUCACCAUUUGUUGAGUUCCUACUAUGGGCCAGACACUGUGGUAGGUGCUGGGGACUAUGGUUGGGAGAAAAAGACACAGUCUGCCCUCAUGGAAAUGUGGUCUGUGGGUGAUGCAUCACUCUUUCAUUCUCAGUUAAAGAUACUGCUAUUCUGAAUACUUGAGUGAACUUUCCCAGAUUGCUCAGUUGGUGAUAAACUGGAAUGGAACUACCCAGAUCUCCCAAUUCUUAUUUCCAUGUUCUUUUCAUUAACUGUGCUUGUUGAUGUUUUUGGUUAUCUUUUAUUUAGGCUAAUGUUAAAAAUGUCUGAGAUUCCACUUGCACUUGAAAAGCAGCUAGGUUUGGAUCUUGGUUGAAAUCCUUGCUCUACCAUGUGCUAGGUUUAUGACAGUGGGUAAGUGUGUAAUCUAUAGCAACUUACAAUAGAACAGAAUCUAAAAUAAAACCAUGUCUACCACACUGAGGUGGAAGGUGUGGGUGGGACUACUGAUGAGACAACAUGAGUGGAAAAACUAGAAGCUGGGACUUUGGGAGAACUCAAGGAUCAGAAGUUCUGAUCAGUUCUGUGUAGGAGGUCUUAAACCCUACAGGGUGUUGCUUGGUGUGGUGUGCAUGGGGAGCCAACCUAUAUGCUGGUAGAGUGACCAAGUCUACCUCACUCUUUGGAACACACCAAGUCAGUGCUGGGCACAUUGAUGUCAGGUGAAUCCUGCCAUCUAAGCAUUAGUGGUGCACUUAGGACACCAGUAGUUGGUCUCUAGGGCUUAUGAUAAAGCACGGGUAGCCCUUGUGCACACAAAGAGUCUGAAAUCAGAAGGAGCAGGCAGCCCUGGAGUUAGUACCUGGAGAGAAGUGGCACCAAUUUCAGACGCUCCCAUCAAAUAGCUUGGUUUCCUGUGCAGACCUGUCAGCCUUGCCCCAGGGCAUGUUGUGGUUACUUGCCAGGCCACCUGCUGCUGACCAGCUCAACAGCCUUGGCCACAGCCUUCUUGAGUGAGUUUUCCUGUCUGGAUAUAAGUCACCACCUAAACUUGCUCUAGGUACCAGAACCAGAUCUUGGUACCAAAUUAGAAAAGAAGAGAUGAGAAGAAGUUAGUUGGAUCAAGGUGGAUCCAUCUGUACCACCAGCAGCAAGAAUCUGAUUGGAAAUAUAGCUCUCAAACUUUUCAGAUCUUUAUAAUGCAAGAGAACAUGUCAUCCCUUCUAGGUAUAUGGCCAAGAGAAAUCAUGUCAUUCACCAGAAGACACAUAAUGUCUAUAGAAACAUUAUAUGUAAUGCUGGACACAACUCAAAUGCUCAUCAGCAGGAAGAUGGAUAAAUUCAUGGUGGUGUAAUCACACAGUGGAAUGUAUAGCAAUGAGGAUGAAUACACUGCAACUACAUGAAACAAUAAGAUUGACUCUCACAAACAAAUUAUUAGCACAGGAAGCCAGAUGCAAAAAUGUACCAAUACUGAUUCUACUUACAUGAUGUUUAAAAGAAGCAUAACUUAUCUAUGGUGUUAGAAGUGAGGAUGGUGGAUACUUUCAAUAGGGGACAGUAACUGGAGGGACAGGCACAGUAAGUUUUGGGGGUGCUGGUGAGGUGCUGCUUCUUGAUCUGGGUGCUGCUUGCAUGGGAGUGUUGUUUGUGAAAAUGCAUUGAGUUACAUACUUAGGAUUUGUGCCCUUUUUGUCUAAAUAUUGAGGUUUGAGAAGUUUACAAAAAAAAGAACAUGUUAAUAUUUCUGCACCAUUAUGGUCAUAGAUUGCUACCUGGACUAGAAGUCAGUGCAGUGGUUUUUCCACCAAUAAAAUAAUAAAAUAAUAUUUGGCAUUUUCUUAUGUCUGGCAGAGAGUAGGCACUCAAUACAUUUGUUAAAUAAAUGAAGAAUGGGUCAUAGCUUUUCUGUGGGAUAGGUACACUAUUAAGUUAGAGUGCCAGGGAAUUACGUAUAUGGUUAUAUAUAGUUAUAUUAUAUAAAUAUUUAUUUUCCCCCAGGGAAAUUUCUGUCUUUUUUUUUUUUUUGCCGUUUCUAGGGGCACCCCUGUGGCAUAUGGAGGUUCCCAGGCUAGGGGUCUAGUCAGAGCUGUAGCCCCCAGCCUACACCAGAGCCACAGCAACGCGGGAUCCGAGCUGCGUCUGUAACCUAUACCACAGCUCAUGGCAACUCUGGAUCCUUAAUCCACUGAGUGAGGCCAGGGAUCGAACCCGCAACCUCAUGGUUCCUAGUCUCAUUCGUUAACCACUGAGCCACGACGGGAACUCCGGGAAAUUUCUAUUGUCACAGAUUUUUAUUAUUUAAACCAUGGUAUCAGACCUUUAAAAGGGGAGCCUCACACCUUCUAGGCAUCUGGCUUAAAUGCACAUGUGCAAAUGCAGGGUCCUCCUUGUUGUCAUGGAGAGCCGCCCAGACUUUGGAUGAUGUGCAUCUCCCUGUAAGGAGCCACUCCUCAGAGCCAUUCAUUAGGCCCAGUUCAGCUGGAUCUUUGAGGUCAUCUUCGCUUGGUCUUUGAUGAGUAAAAUGUGAGCAGGAGAUGUUUGACCGAGAGGCGUGGCUUGUGGCAAACCAGGAAGUACUUCAUCUUGUUGCAGUACAGAAAAGGGAAAUGAAAAGGCAUUGUUAACAGGUACAGGCCGACUGAUUCUCAGGUCUCCCAGACAUCUUCCAGGAAGUGUGAUGAGGCAGGAACACAGACCUGAAAAUAGGGGCAGAUCUGAGGUAGCAGCAACUCAAGCCACCUUAACGCCAGCCCAGGUGGAAUCUCAUUCUGUUCCACAUCCCUUCUAGUCAAACCUGUUAGGGGACACAAACAUUUCAAGUGUUUGAGAGCUGGUUUAAGCGGCCUAAAAGGCCUGUUGAAGUUAUUUUCCGUGAGAAGAUUGCAUGUGGUGAAGGUGCAAAUGUGCAGAGACCCUGUCCUGUCCAUAAAGCCUGGGCUUGGCUUCCUUUUAGAAGGCUCAAGAAACAUCAUACUACACAACUCAAACCCAACAAAGAGCAUGAUAUGAAGAAACUUAUACCUUUUGAAACAAGGUGACUCCUUUGUCUCUUAAGGUAGCUGCAUUUCCCUUGGCCCUGGUGAGAGAACAAAGAAGUCUUGGUUUUCAGAGCACAAUCCCAGACCCAGGUUCUUUCCAGCUGUGUAGAGUGUGGCAAACUACGCAUUUGUCCUCUGCUGGGGUCUCUUGGAGACUUAUUUUUUUCUGAUGAUGAAGUUGCUUAAUCAGCUUGUGUAAUAGGAUUAUCUGUGUUUUGCCCAAAUGUCAGAUAAUGACAUUUGCAUAGAUAUGAAGUCAAGGGGGGAAGCCUGGCUUCAAAGUGUGGUCUGGUUCAUAGGGUCCCAUGGAGCCCAUCCUGGAGGACCAGAUGCCCCAGCUCUUAUGCUCAGAUCUCACUCUCAGGCCUGGAUGUUAUCCUCGGAGGACAGCUACCUUUAGGAUAGGUACGGUGGUCACCUUGGUGGUCUCUUGCUUUGCAUUGCUGCGGGCUGAGGGGAAAGGGCUGGAUGCAGAGGUGGAUACGGGAGGAGAACAGAGAAGAGCUGGGUGGCAUGGGCUUUCGAAUCACCAGAAUAUGCCGAGAGGCUCUAGGUGUUGAAAGAUAUACCGACAAAGAUGUAAUUGGCAUUAAGCCUGGGUCUGCUACUGACAGUUCUUCCUGCCUUUGCUUCCAACACUGCCACCCAGAGAUCCAUUUUUGAAGUGACAGAGAGUUUUCCCUUUUAUUCAUUUGAGAGCAUGAGAAAAAUUGGUUGUAAAGAUCCCUGCAAAUCUGGCUACGUGUACUUGGAAAGGUCUGUGGUCAUGUCCUGCCUUGGACCUCAGUUUUCUUCUCAGCUGUAAAGUAAGGAUAUUGGACUCCCAUCUCUCAGGCCCCUUUCAGCAUGAAAAUUCUGCAUUCCAAAGCAUCUUCCAAACAGCUUCCCUGGGAGGUGCUAUCACCAGAGGCUUCAGUUAAAAUCCAAAAGUGUUUUCUAUGAAGGAUAACGUCGUUAAGCCUCAUUUACAAAUACCUCAGCUCAAAUGUGUUUGCCAAAUAUACUUGAUACUUGGAGCAUCCAGGACACAGGCUUGGUUCAUUUAUGUUGGAGGAGCAGAGAGGAACAUUCUGCAGAAGGGGGAGCUGACCAAGCAGCUCAGGACUGGGUGAUGUUUUGGGGCGGGUACUCUGCCCACCAUCUUACAUGAAAGGUUAUUUGAGGCCAAUGGCAAGAUUCCAGAGGCAAGAUUUCUUUCUAACCUUACAACUGGCAUCAGGAAUCUGAAAUCCUUUAUGAUCCUGAGCUGGAAAGGGGAGGCAAGCCAGCCUUUGAGAUGGCUCCUUGUUCACACCUGCGUGCUGUCCCCUCCGCUUGGGUGUGGGCUGGACCUGGAAUCUUAUAUCUAAUUCAUUGCAAAGGUACAGGGGGAGGGGGGAGGAUCUAUUACAUAUUUGCCAUCAAUAUACGUGUAUACUGAAUACUUCUCAUUUUACCAAUGAGAACCAAUUUCUAGUAGUUGUUAUCCUAGUAAACAAGCCAAUACUUUCAUUUAAAAAAGCAACAAGGACCCAUUACUGACAUUGAGCAUAUUAAUUUGGAAGCCUUGAGUUUGAUUGAGGCAUGGAUUUGAAGCAUUUACAGCUGCCUCUGGAUCAUGGAUUUCCUGAAGGGAACUUCAGCUGACCACUACAGGUCUGGGCAUUCUUGAGUUAAGUGCUUUCUUGAGCAUGGGCAGCCCAAACCCAGGAUUACAGCCCAAAUCAAGGUACAUACUCAAUGUUCUUUUGCAUGGGUUGAAGUAUCUUAAAGCAAAUUAUAGAUAAGAGGUAAGUAAAGGUAGGUUUGCAGAAGAGUUUUAGUUUCUUGUUCAUGGCAAUGGCUAAACCCUUAACCUCCUGUUUUUCUUUGCAUUUAUUUCUUGCUUUCUCUUUCUUCAUUUAAUAUCCCAGGGCCUUUGUGACACCUGCUAGGAAUAAAAGAGAUGUUCUUUAGCCAAAGGUUACAGUUUCCUACCCCUCCAGACAGGGUUCAGAGGAAGCAGUAUGGAGGAGAGAGAGGGGUUGAGGUGAUGGUGUUGCUCCAGCAGUCUUUGGAUCACCAAGGAAUCUGGGUCAUUUGCUGUCUGAGGUUGCAUAAGUAUAACAGUCAUGGCUUGGACUGGGUAGGUGUCCCAAUGCCUCAUCUGUGCUGGACAAGUGGCCAUUGGGCCCCUGCUUUUGUGAAGAUGCAUUUAUUUAUUUAUUUAGGGCCACACCCAUGGCAUAUGGAGGUUCCCAGGCUAGGGGUCGAAUCGCAGCUGUAGCCACCGGCCUACGCCAGAGGCACAGCAAUGCAGGAUCCGAGCCGCGUCUGCAACCUACACCACAGCUCACGGCAACGCCGGAUCGUUAACCCACUGAGCAAGGGCAGGGACCGAACCCUCAACCUCAUGGUUCCUAGUCGGAUUCAUUAACCACUGCGCCACGACGGGAACUCCAACAGUUUUGAUUUUUUAAAGUUAAUGUUCUACAUAUUAAAAAAAAA
ensembl:lncRNA